rnacentral:lncRNA from 1 species
UCUAAUGUUGUGACCUCUCUCCCCACAGGAUCUACAAGUCAUGACAAGUCAUUUUCUUGAACAUGACCAACCCCCCUCUCUCAUCCUUGCCUCAUCCUUUUCUCUAUUUCUCUUUACCUUUGGUCGACCAACCAUCUUUACAAUAUCUGGUGGCUCCACUGCAUGAUCUGGUUCUACCUUCCAGAAUUUAUCACCUCUAACUGGUUAUAGUUUAUGAUUAUACACAUCCAUGUAAGCUUCUUUUG